GGCCGCGUAGCUUAGUCGGAAGAGCAUUGGGCUAGUAUUUCAAAGGUCGUAGGUUCGAAACCCACCGUGGCCG
rnacentral:tRNA from 1 species